UACGGUAGGGUGCGAGCGUUUGUCCGGAAUUAUUGGGCGUAAAGGGCUCGUAGGCGGUUUGUCGCGUCGGGAGUGAAAACUCAGGGCUUAACCCUGAGCCUGCUUCCGAUACGGGCAGACUAGAGGUAUGCAGGGGAGAACGGAAUUCCUGGUGUAGCGGUGAAAUGCGCAGAUAUCAGGAGGAACACCGGUGGCGAAGGCGGUCUCUGGGCCGAAACUGACGCUGAGGAGCGAAAGCGUGGGGAGCAAACAGG
rnacentral:rRNA from 1 species